UACGAAGGGGGCUAGCGUUGCUCGGAAUGACUGGGCGUAAAGGGCGCGUAGGCGGCCGAUCAAGUCAGGGGUGAAAGCCUGUGGCUCAACCACAGAAUUGCCUUUGAUACUGUUCGGCUCGAGACCGGAAGAGGUAAGUGGAACUGCGAGUGUAGAGGUGAAAUUCGUAGAUAUUCGCAAGAACACCAGUGGCGAAGGCGGCUUACUGGUCCGGUUCUGGACGCUGAGGCGCGAAAGCGUGGGGAGCAAACAGG
rnacentral:rRNA from 1 species